CCUACGGGUGGCAGCAGUGGGGAAUAUUGCACAAUGGGGGAAACCCUGAUGCAGCAACGCCGCGUGAGUGAUGACGGCCUUCGGGUUGUAAAGCUCUUUCUUCAGGGACGAUAAUGACGGUACCUGACUAAUAAGCCACGGCUAACUACGUGCCAGCAGCCGCGGUAAUACGUAGGUGGCGAGCGUUAACCGGAUUUACUGGGCGUAAAGGGAGCGUAGGCGGGCUGUUAAGUGAGAUGUGAAAUACUCGGGCUCAACUUGAGUGCUGCAUUUGAAACUGGUAGUCUAGAGUGCAGGAGAGGAAAAUGGAAUUCCUAGUGUAGCGGUAAAAUGCGUAGAGAUUAGGAAGAACAUCAGUGGCGAAGGCGAUUUGCUGGACUGUAACUGACGCUGAGGCUCGAAAGCGUGGGGAGCAAACAGGAUUAGAUACCCUUGUAGUC
rnacentral:rRNA from 1 species